GAAAUGCGAUAAGUAAUGUGAAUUGCAGAAUUCAGUGAAUCAUCGAAUCUUUGAACGCACCUUGCGCUCCUUGGUAUUCCUUGGAGCAUGCCUGUUUGAGUAUCAUGAAAUCUUCAAAGUAAAUCUUUUGUUAACUCAAUUGGUUUCUACUUUGGUAUUGGAGGUCUUUGCAGCUUCACACCGGCUCCUCUUUGUUCAUUAGCUGGAUCUCAGUGUUAUGCUUGGUUCCACUCGGCGUGAUAAGUUAUCUAUCGCUGAGGACACUGUAAAAGGUGGCCAAGGUAAAUGCAGAUGAACCGCUUCUAAUAGUCCAUUGACUUGGACAAUACUUUUAUGAUCUGAUCUCAAAUCAGGUAGGACUACCCGCUGAACUUAAGC
rnacentral:misc_RNA from 1 species